GACAGAGGGGGCAAGCGUUGCUCGGAAUCACUGGGCGUAAAGGGCGCGUAGGCGGGAUGGCAAGUCGGUCGUGAAAUCCUUCGGCUCAACCGAAGAACGUCGGCCGAUACUGCCGUUCUUGAGGGAUGCAGAGGAGAUUGGAAUUCCCGGUGUAGCGGUGAAAUGUGUAGAGAUCGGGAGGAACACCGGUGGCGAAGGCGGCAUCCUGGACCGACACUGACGCUGAGGAGCGAAAGCCAGGGGAGCAAACGGG
rnacentral:rRNA from 1 species